GACAGAGGGUGCAAACGUUGUUCGGAAUUACUGGGCGUAAAGCGCGUGUAGGCGGUCUACUAAGUCGGGUGUGAAAGCCCUGGGCUCAACCCAGGAAGUGCACUCGAAACUGGUGGGCUAGAGUAUCGGAGAGGUUGGUGGAAUUCUCGGUGUAGAGGUGAAAUUCGUAGAUAUCGAGAGGAACACCGGUGGCGAAGGCGGCCAACUGGACGAAUACUGACGCUGAGACUCGAAAGCGUGGGGAGCAAACAGG
rnacentral:rRNA from 1 species